AUUAAGCAAGUCGUAAGCCUGUAACUCAGGUAUGGUAUAUAGCUUUUAUUGUAUGACUUGUGUCCUUUCUCCUCUCCUAGUCUCCUACUUUGUAAAGUAUAUCAUUUUUUUUUUAUCUGAGCUCUAUAAAGUAUAUUUAUAUCAUAUUGUUAUAUGCAUAUGGCUAUACACAUCCACAAGAUCAUUUUUUUUUCGUUCUAUAAACUAAUUAGCCCCUGCAUCUUUCAUCGCACAUCAUAUGUAAAAAAGCACUA
rnacentral:lncRNA from 1 species